UGGGGAAUAUUGGACAAUGGGCGAAAGCCUGAUCCAGCCAUGCCGCGUGUGUGAAGAAGGUCUUCGGAUUGUAAAGCACUUUAAGUUGGGAGGAAGGGCAGUUACCUAAUACGUAUCUGUUUUGACGUUACCGACAGAAUAGGCACCGGCUAACUCUGUGCCAGCAGCCGCGGUAAUACAGAGGGUGCAAGCGUUAAUCGGAAUUACUGGGCGUAAAGCGCACGUAGGUGGCGACGUAAGUCGGGUGUGAAAGCCCCGGGCUCAACCUGGGAAUUGCAUUCGAGACUGCAUUGCUGGAGUACGGAAGAGGAGGGCGGAAUUCCCGGUGUAGCGGUGAAAUGCGUAGAUAUCGGGAGGAACAUCAGUGGCGAAGGCGGCCCUCUGGUCCAGUACUGACACUCAAGUGCGAAAGCGUGGGGAGCAAACAGGAUUAGAUACCCUAGUAGUCCCUGAGCGGGCUGGCAAGGCGCAU
rnacentral:rRNA from 1 species